rnacentral:rRNA from 1 species
AUUGAACGCUGGCGGCAGGCCUAACACAUGCAAGUCGAGCGGAUGAAGGGAGCUUGCUCCUGGAUUCAGCGGCGGACGGGUGAGUAAUGCCUAGGAAUCUGCCUGGUAGUGGGGGAUAACGUCCGGAAACGGGCGCUAAUACCGCAUACGUCCUGAGGGAGAAAGUGGGGGAUCUUCGGACCUCACGCUAUCAGAUGAGCCUAGGUCGGAUUAGCUAGUUGGUGGGGUAAAGGCCUACCAAGGCGACGAUCCGUAACUGGUCUGAGAGGAUGAUCAGUCACACUGGAACUGAGACACGGUCCAGACUCCUACGGGAGGCAGCAGUGGAGAAUAUUGGACAGUGGGCGAAAGCCUGAUCCAGCCAUGCCGCGUGUGUGAAGAAGGUCUUCGGAUUGUAAAGCACUUUAAGUUGGGAGGAAGGGCAGUAAGUUAAUACCUUGCUGUUUUGACGUUACCAACAGAAUAAGCACCGGCUAACUUCGUG